CCUACGGGGGGCAGCAGUGGGGAAUAUUGCACAAUGGGGGCAACCCUGAUGCAGCCAUGCCGCGUGUGUGAAGAAGGCCUUCGGGUUGUAAAGCACUUUCAGUUGUGAGGGAAGGUUAGUAGUUAAUACCUGCUAGCUGUGACGUUAACAACAGAAGAAGCACCGGCUAACUCCGUGCCAGCAGCCGCGGUAAUACGGAGGGUGCGAGCGUUAAUCGGAAUUACUGGGCGUAAAGCGCACGCAGGCGGUCUGUUAAGCUAGAUGUGAAAGCCCCGCGCUCAACGUGGGAGGGUCAUUUAGAACUGGCAGACUAGAGUCUUGGAGAGGGGAGUGGAAUUCCAGGUGUAGCGGUGAAAUGCGUAGAGAUCUGGAGGAACAUCAAUGGCGAAGGCAACUCCCUGGCCAAAGACUGACGCUCAUGUGCGAAAGUGUGGGUAGCGAACAGGAUUAGAUACCCUGGUAGUCCACACCGUAAACGCUGUCUACUAGCUGUUUGUGGAUUUAAUCCGUGAGUAGCGAAGCUAACGCGAUAAGUAGACCGCCUGGGGAUACGGCCGCAAGUUAAAACUCAAAUGAAUUGACGGGGGCCCGCACAAGCGGUGGAGCAUGUGGUUUAAUUCGAUGCAACGCGAAGAACCUUACCUACUCUUGACAUACUAGAAACUUUUCAGAGAUGAAUUGGUGCCUUCGGGAAUCUAGAUACAGGUGCUGCAUGGCUGUCGUCAGCUCGUGUCGUGAGAUGUUGGGUUAAGUCCCGCAACGAGCGCAACCCUUGUCCUUAGUUACCAGCAUUAAGUUGGGUACUUUAAGGAGACUGCCGGUGACAAACCGGAGGAAGGUGGGGACGACGUCAAGUCAUCAUGGCCCUUACGAGUAGGGCUACACACGUGCUACAAUGGCGAGUACAAAGGGAUGCAAACUGGUGACAGUAAGCGGACCCCUUAAAGCUCGUCGUAGUCCGGAUUGGAGUCUGCAACUCGACUCCAUGAAGUCGGAAUCGCUAGUAAUCGUAGGUCAGCAUACUACGGUGAAUACGUUCCCGGGCCUUGUACACACCGCCCGUC
rnacentral:rRNA from 1 species